AAGUCGUAACAAGGUAACCGUAGGUGAACCUGCGGUUGGAUCAUUAUAAAAUGAUAGUUGUUGGUUAGAGGGGCAAAACAUUUAUGCUUAGCCACCUUUCCAACGACUAAACACCUUUGUGCACCAUAAUUGUAUUUGGGUUGGUCUUUAGUACCAACCCGCCUAUUAACUUCUAUUAUUUUGACUGAAUUUUGUUUCUAUGAAUCAAAAACAACUUUUAACAACGGAUCUCUUGGCUCUC
rnacentral:misc_RNA from 1 species